rnacentral:rRNA from 1 species
CCUACGGGUGGCAGCAGUGGGGAAUAUUGCACAAUGGGCGCAAGCCUGAUGCAGCCAUGCCGCGUGUGUGAAGAAGGCCUUCGGGUUGUAAAGCACUUUCAGCGGGGAGGAAGGCGUUAAGGUUAAUAACCUUGUCGAUUGACGUUACCCGCAGAAGAAGCACCGGCUAACUCCGUGCCAGCAGCCGCGGUAAUACGGAGGGUGCAAGCGUUAAUCGGAAUUACUGGGCGUAAAGCGCACGCAGGCGGUCUGUCAAGUCGGAUAUGAAAUCCCCGGGCUCAACCUGGGAACUGCAUUCGAAACUGGCAGGCUAGAGUCUUGUAGAGGGGGGUAGAAUUCCAGGUGUAGCGGUGAAAUGCGUAGAGAUCUGGAGGAAUACCGGUGGCGAAGGCGGCCCCCUGGACAAAGACUGACGCUCAGGUGCGAAAGCGUGGGGAGCAAACAGGAUUAGAUACCCCUGUAGUC